GGCCUGAUGGUCUAGGGGUAUGAUUCACCCUUAGGGUUUCAUAACGCGUGUGAGCAUCUGGGUGAGGUCCCGGGUUCGAAUCCCGGUUAGGCCC